GGCGAACUCGUGGAAGGAGCUGGGGGAAUGAUGAGGUGGGAUGGGUUGUCCGGAAGGAGUGGGCGUAAAGCGUCAGGAGGGAGGUAUGCAAGGCUGCGGGGAAAGACUGGGGCGUAAGCCUGGAAAGGCCGGUGAAACUGAGGAGCUAGAGUGGAGUAGGGGGAGAGGGAAUUCCCGGGGUAGCGGUGAAAUGCGUAGAGCUCGGGAAGAACAUCGGUGGCGAAAGCGCUCUACUGGACUGCAACUGACACUCAGGGACGAAAGCUAGGGGAGCGAAUGGGAUUAGAUACCCUAGUCGUC
rnacentral:rRNA from 1 species